rnacentral:rRNA from 1 species
CUGAGUAGGGAAGUGUGUGAGCCAUGCGUCAAGAAAAGCCGCUAUUGUUUUACUUAAGCCCGUACCGUAAACCGACACAGGUGGAUGAGGAGAGAAUCCUAAGGCCGACGGGAGAAGCAUUGUUAAGGGACUCGGCAAAAUGACUCCGUAACUUCGGGAGAAGGAGUGCCAGCGAGAGCUGGCCGCAGAGAAUUGGCCCAAGCAACUGUUUAGCAAAAGCACAGGUCUAUGCAAAACCGUAAGGUGAAGUAUAUGGGCUGACGCCUGCCCGGUGCUGGAAGGUUAAGAGGAGAGGCUAGCGGCAACGCGAAGCUUUGAAUUUAAGCCCCAGUAAACGGCGGCCGUAACAAUAACGGUCCUAAGGUAGCGAAAUUCCUUGUCGGGUAAGUUCCGACCCGCACGAAAGGCGUAAUGAUUUGGGCACUGUCUCAACAAUGCACCCGGUGAAAUUGAAAUACCAGUGAAGAUGCUGGUUACCUGCGCCAGGACGGAAAGACCCCAUGGAGCUUUACUCCAGCUUGAUACUGGGAUUCGGUAUUGCAUGUACAGGAUAGGUGGGAGGCUAGGAAGUGAUAACGCCAGUUGUCACGGAGCCGCUGUUGGGAUACCACCCUUGCAGUAUUGGAUUUCUAACCAGCGACCAUGAACUGGUCGGGGGACAAUGUCAGGUGGGGAGUUUGACUGGGGCGGUCGCCUCCGAAAGGGUAUCGGAGGCGCUCAAAGGUUCCCUCAGAAUGGACGGAAACCAUUCGAAGAGUGCAAAGGCAGAAGGGAGCUUGACUGCGACACCGACGGGUGGAGCAGGUACGAAAGUAGGACUUAGUGAUCCGGUGGUAUAAAGUGGGAUUGCCAUCGCUCAACGGAUAAAAGCUACCCUGGGAUAACAGGCUUAUCUCUCCCAAGAGUUCACAUCGACGGAGUGGUUUGGCACCUCGAUGUCGGCUCAUCGCAUCCUGGGGCUGAAGUAGGUCCCAAGGGUUGGGCUGUUCGCCCAUUAAAGCGGUACGCGAGCUGGGUUCAGAACGUCGUGAGACAGUUCGGUCCCUAUCCGGCGUGGGCGUAGGAUAUUUGAGAGGAGCUGUCCUUAGUACGAGAGGACCGGGAUGGACUGGCCGCUGGUGUAUCUGUUGCAUACCAAAUGCAUGGCAGAGUAGCCAAGCCGGGACGGGAUAAACGCUGAAGGCAUCUAAGCGUGAAGCCCCCCUCAAGAUGAGAUAUCCCUACGUAAGUAGUAAGACCCCUUGAAGACGACGAGGUAGAUAGGUCAGAGGUGGAAGUACAGUAAUGUAUGGAGCUGACUGAUACUAAUCGGUCGAGGGCAUGACCA